UGGGGAAUAUUGCACAAUGGGCGCAAGCCUGAUGCAGCCAUGCCGCGUGUGUGAAGAAGGCCUUCGGGUUGUAAAGCACUUUCAGCGAGGAGGAAGGUGGUGAGCUUAAUACGCUCAUCAAUUGACGUUACUCGCAGAAGAAGCACCGGCUAACUCCGUGCCAGCAGCCGCGGUAAUACGGAGGGUGCAAGCGUUAAUCGGAAUUACUGGGCGUAAAGCGCACGCAGGCGGUUUGUUAAGUCAGAUGUGAAAUCCCCGGGCUCAACCUGGGAACUGCAUUUGAAACUGGCAAGCUAGAGUCUCGUAGAGGGGGGCUAGAAUUCCAGGUGUAGCGGUGAAAUGCGUAGAGAUCUGGAGGAAUACCGGUGGCGAAGGCGGCCCCCCUGGANGAAGACUGACGCUCAGGUGCGAAAA
rnacentral:rRNA from 1 species